rnacentral:rRNA from 1 species
UACGUAGGGUGCAAGCGUUAAUCGGAAUUACUGGGCGUAAAGCGUGCGCAGGCGGUUAUGUAAGGCAGAUGUGAAAUCCCCGGGCUCAACCUGGGAACUGCAUCUGUGACUGCAUAGCUAGAGUACGGUAGAGGGGGGUGGAAUUCCGCGUGUAGCAGUGAAAUGCGUAGAUAUGCGGAGGAACACCGAUGGCGAAGGCAAUCCCCUGGACCUGUACUGACGCUCAUGCACGAAAGCGUGGGGAGCAAACAGG